GAGGAAUAUUGGGCAAUGCCCGCAAGGGUGACCCAGCAACGCCGCGUGGAGGAUGAAUGUCGUAAGAUUGAAAACUCCUGUUAGAGGGGAAGAAUAGUACCGGUUGGACCGGUAUAUGACUGUACCCUCAGAGAAAGCCCCGGCUAACUACGUGCCAGCCGCCGCGGUAAUACGUAGGGGGCAAGCGUGGUCCGGAUUUACUGGGUGUAAAGGGCGCGCAGGCGGGAUAAAAAGUCAGUGGUGAAAUCCUACAGCUUAACUGUAGAACUGCCUUUGNUACGUUUAUUCUUGAGUUCGGGAGAGGGAGACGGAAUUCCAGGCGUAGUGGUGAAAUACGUAGAUAUCUGGAAGAACACCAGUUGCGAAGGCGGUCUCUUGGUCCGACACUGAGGCUGAGGCGCGAAAGCGUGGGGAGCAAACA
rnacentral:rRNA from 1 species